rnacentral:rRNA from 1 species
GAUGAACGCUGGCGGCGUGCCUAAUACAUGCAAGUCGAGCGAACAGACGAGGAGCUUGCUCCUCUGACGUUAGCGGCGGACGGGUGAGUAACACGUGGAUAACCUACCUAUAAGACUGGGAUAACUUCGGGAAACCGGAGCUAAUACCGGAUAAUAUAUUGAACCGCAUGGUUCAAUGGUGAAAGACGGUUUUGCUGUCACUUAUAGAUGGAUCCGCGCCGCAUUAGCUAGUUGGUAAGGUAACGGCUUACCAAGGCAACGAUGCGUAGCCGACCUGAGAGGGUGAUCGGCCACACUGGAACUGAGACACGGUCCAGGCUCCUACGGGAGGCAGCAGUAGGGAAUCUUCCGCAAUGGGCGAAAGCCUGACGGAGCAACGCCGCGUGAGUGAUGAAGGUCUUCGGAUCGUAAAACUCUGUUAUUAGGGAAGAACAAAUGUGUAAGUAACUAUGCACGUCUUGACGGUACCUAAUCAGAAAGCCACGGCUAACUACGUG